CAUUAAUAUCAUUACCGCGCGCUCCUUUGUAUAUUUCAACAUACCAGAUAUAUGGAAAAUGAUAUAGCUAUAGAGGUUGAAGAAAUGCUGAAGAAGGCACAACCUUUAUUUACAACCAAAAGCUGCUGCAUCUACAAGUUACCCCAUGAGAUUCGCCAAUCAAACAAAGAUGCAUAUACUCCAGUUCUUGUUUCUGUUAUGAGGGGACGACAGAGGAUGAUGUUAUCUUCUCAAAAUCGUGGAUGCAUAGUCGGGAAAACUCAGAUCCUUCAAGUUCAUACCUCGGCGUUGGAGAUAUUUACUCGGCGGCGACUUCUAGAAACCGAGGUCAAGUCCAGAUAACUGCACCAGAAC